rnacentral:rRNA from 1 species
AUUGAACGCUGGCGGCAGGCCUAACACAUGCAAGUCGAGCGGAUGAAGGGAGCUUGCUCCUGGAUUCAGCGGCGGACGGGUGAGUAAUGCCUAGGAAUCUGCUUGGCAGUGGGGGAUAACGUCCGGAAACGGGCGCUAAUACUGCAUACGUCCAGAGGGAGAAAGUGGGGGAUCUUCGGACCUCACGCUAUCAGAUGAGUCUAGGUCGGAUUAGCUAGUUGGUGGGGUAAAGGCCUACCAAGGCGACGAUCCGUAACUGGUCUGAGAGGAUGAUCAGUCACACUGGAACUGAGACACGGUCCAGACUCCUACGGUAGGCAGCAGUGGGGAAUAUUGGACAAUGGGCGAAAGCCUGAUCCAGCCAUGCCGCGUGUGUGAAGAAGGUCUUCGGAUUGUAAAGCACUUUAAGUUGGGAGGAAGGGCAGUAAGUUAAUACCUUGCUGUUUUGACGUUACCAACAGAAUAAGCACCGGCUAACUUCGUG